CGACGUAGGGCGCAAGCGUUGUCCGGAAUUAUUGGGCGUAAAGAGCUCGUAGGCGGUCUGUUGCGUCCGCUGUGAAAACUCGGGGCUUAACCCCGAGCCUGCAGUGGAUACGGGCAGACUAGAGGUAGGUAGGGGAGAAUGGAAUUCCCGGUGUAGCGGUGAAAUGCGCAGAUAUCGGGGAAGAACACCAGUGGCGAAAGCGCUCUACUGGGCCGAUAACUGACACUGAGGGACGAAAAGCUAGGGGGAGCGAAAGGGG
rnacentral:rRNA from 1 species